CAGGGAGGCCCCGAGAACGGCGCGGGACACAGGCCCGCCGAAGCGGGCUGGCAGUCUCCUCUCCUCUCACGAAGCGGUCACAGACCCAGAUUGCUGAAUCCCACCCCCAAGGCGCAAUACUAUUGGAGGAAGAAGGGAAGCUCCUCAAGUCUCAUUGGAGAACACAAAGUAGCCCGCCCCGUGCUGCCUAAGCCACAGGCCUAAGAAAUCGGCUCCCGCCUCCGCCGGUCAUUGCAUUGGAAGGCUACCUUUGGCUCUCACACCGCCCCAGGAAGGUAAGUAACCGAUAUGGGGUAAAAUGUCUGUAAGUGAAACAGGCUCCUCCUACCACACUUGCCGGCCAGGCCCCGCCCCAAGAGUCGGAUUGGAUAUCUUGACGCCGGUAGGAACCUCCAUUGGACACCUCGCCUGUCCAGGAAGCUGAUUCCGCCCUGCGCGAGAAGACUGAACCUGAGCAGUCCUUUUGUGGAAUGUUUACACUAGAGAGUGAAGCUCAGAGUUCGAAGGCCUGGGGCAGGAGGUGACAACGAGUCUCAGCACCCGAGACCCGAGGCCCUGGGAUCUAAAGGGGAAAGGCGGUAAUAUUACUGCUCUGAAGGACUCCCUUACCAAAACAAUGAAAGAACCUCAUCCUUCCCACCCAGUUAUCUUCACAAUUAUACAUGCUGUCUCCUUGUAAGCACAAAUAUCUA